AGAAGCUGCUCUCUGAGAGCGGCGACGGGUGAGUAAAGCCUAGAAUCUGCCUGGUAGUGGGGGAUAACGUUCGGAAACGGACGCUAAUACCGCAUACGUCCUACGGGAGAAAGCAGGGGACCUUCGGGCCUUGCGCUAUCAGAUGAGCCUAGGUCGGAUUAGCUAGUUGGUGAGGUAAUGGCUCACCAAGGCGACGAUCCGUAACUGGUCUGAGAGGAUGAUCAGUCACACUGGAACUGAGACACGGUCCAGACUCCUACGGGAGGCAGCAGUGGGGAAUAUUGGACAAUGGGCGAAAGCCUGAUCCAGCCAUGCCGCGUGUGUGAAGAAGGUCUUCGGAUUGUAAAGCACUUUAAGUUGGGAGGAAGGGCAUUAACCUAAUACGUUAGUGUUUUGACGUUACCGACAGAAUAAGCACCGGCUAACUCUGUGCCAGCAGCCGCGGUAAUACAGAGGGUGCAAGCGUUAAUCGGAAUUACUGGGCGUAAAGCGCGCGUAGGUGGUUUGUUAAGUUGGAUGUGAAAUCCCCGGGCUCAACCUGGGAACUGCAUUCAAAACUGACUGACUAGAGUGUGGUAGAGGGUGGUGGAAUUUCCUGUGUAGCGGUGAAAUGCGUAGAUAUAGGAAGGAACACCAGUGGCGAAGGCGACCACCUGGACCAACACUGACACUGAGGUGCGAAAGCGUGGGGAGCAAACA
rnacentral:rRNA from 1 species